rnacentral:misc_RNA from 1 species
AACUUGUCAUCUGUGAAAU